AUGGCCACCAGGCUCUUCUCCCGGGUGGCUCUUUGUCUCCUGUGGGCAGGACACCUGGAUGCCGGAAUCACCCAGAGCCCAAGGUACAAGGUCGCUGGGACAGAAAAGAAAGUGACUCUGAGGUGUCACCAGACUGAUAAGUAUGACUAUAUGUACUGGUAUCGACAAGACCUGGGUCAUGGGCUGCGGCUGCUCCACUACUCAUUUGGUGCUGGUGCCACCGAAAGAGGAGAGAUCCCCGACGGGUACAAUGUCAGUAGGUCAGAUACAGAGGACUUCCCCCUCACGCUGGAGGCGGCCACCCCCUCCCAGACAUCUGUGUACUUCUGCGCCAGCAGUGAUGCACAGCGCUGCAGGGCCACCUCCUCUCGGCACAAAAAGGGUGGCACUGUGUUGGGGUUCCCCAAGUACACGCCCAUGUUUGGACAUUCCCUGCAGGGACUCGCAUGGGAGAUCCAGGAGCCAGCCCAGAACUCACAGCAGGAGGGGUUCAUCCAGUCCCCCAGACAUAAGAUCAUAGAAAAGAGUCAGGCCGUGGCUUUGUGGUACAAUCCGGUUUCUGGCCACCAAACCCGUUACUGGUACCGGCAGACCCCGGGCCAGGGCCUGGGGCUGCUGGUUCGCUUUGAGAAGAUAUAA